UCCACAACAUCCAUCCCUUGCAGGACUCUUCCAAUAACCAGUGUUGAGGCGUCAAGUUCAGGCGAGUCCUUUGUUGCUAUAACAAAUUCUGUACCAUUUGGGUCGACCCCGAUUUCUUCCUCAUCAAUCACAAGUUUUCCUUUCUUAGCAACCAGCUUCAGUUUUGGUGCAGGUUUUGAUGGAUUCCUGACAAUAAUCCCCACCGAUCCUGCUACAUUUCUGGUACUAUUACUACCCAAACAAUUUUUGUUCUUAUCAUUAUUAUUCAUCUCCCAUUCUGAUAAUAGCUCGUCGGCUAUCAGAUCAGCUUGACUACCCCGUUUCGCUAGCUCAGUAUCUACGCCAAUGGAUCGAAUACCUCCAUGUUGUAUGUAAUUGGGCAUGAUUUUUACAAAAUCUUUUCUUCUAUAACUCACACCAGCUGUCCCUGAUACCAGUUUGGCAAAUCUUGCUGCUCCAACAGUUGUGGUGGUUGAAUUUUCUCCGUAGAGUCCCACUAUGAUUCUUCCAAUAGGUUCUCUGUCAAUGGAAACAUCGAAAUACACC
rnacentral:lncRNA from 1 species